GGCUUGAAGAUGCCCUAGGGUUUCGAAGGUCACGGAUUUGGAGAGGUUGGAAUCAGGGAGGUGUUGUUGGAUUAGGGGAAGGAAUCAGAUCAGACUCGUGCUAGGUUUUCCCUUGAUCGGAUCAGUGGACCUCCACCUCCUUGCUGUUGAUUGAGGUCUCGAAUUGAAGGUUAGGUACUGUGGGGUUUUGGUUGGUGGUCAGUAAUUGCAUCCGGGCAGAAAGGUAGAUUCUAGCAGCUCAUUUGGCAGGACCUCUUUCCGGCAGCCCUCUUGUUGACUGAGCUUGAGGUUGAGGCCGUCAGGAGAGAUUCCAGUCGCUAGCCCCAUUAUCGCGAGGAUUUUC